AUUGAACGCUGGCGGCAUGCUUUACACAUGCAAGUCGAACGGCAGCGCGGGCUUCGGCCUGGCGGCGAGUGGCGAACGGGUGAGUAAUGCAUCGGAAAGUGCCCAGUAGUGGGGGAUAGCCCGGCGAAAGCCGGAUUAAUUCCGCAUACGACCUGAGGGUGAAAGCGGGGGACCGAAAGGCCUCGCGCCUUUGUAGCGGCGGAUGUCCGAUUUGCUAGUUGGUGGGGUAAAGGCUUACUAAGGCGACGAUCCGCAGCUGGUCUGAGAGGACGACCAGCCACACUGGGACUGAGACACGGCCCAGACUCCUACGGGAGGCAGCAGUGGGGAAUUUUGGACAAAGGGGGCAACCCUGAUCCAGCCAUGCCGCGUGCGGGAAGAAGGCCUUCGGGUUGUAAACCGCUUUUGUUCGGGAAGAAAUCUUCUGGGCUAAUACCCCGGGGGGAUGACGGUACCGGAAGAAUAAGCACCGGCUAACUACGUG
rnacentral:rRNA from 1 species